UGGCGGCGUGCCUAACACAUGCAAGUCGAGCGGGACAUUGCGACGGAGACGAAGUACUCGUACGGAGUCAAAGAGUGUAAUGUUCUAGCGGCGGACGGGUGAGUAACGCGUGAGCAACCUGUCCCUUACAGGGGAUAACACAGCGAAAGUUGUACUAAUACCGCAUAAGACCACAGGAUGACAUCGUCCAGGGGUCAAAGGAGCAAUCCGGUAAGGGGUGGGCUCGCGUCCGAUUAGAUAGUUGGUGAGUAACGGCCCACCAAGUCGACGAUCGGUAGCCGACCUGAGAGGGUGAUCGGCCACAUUGGGACUGAGACACGGCCCAAACUCCUACGGGAGGCAGCAGUGGGGAAUAUUGGGCAAUUGGGGGGAAACCCUGACCCAGCAACGCCGCGUGAGGGAAGAAGGUUUUCGGAUCGUAAACCUCUGUCCCAGGUGAAGAGGAAGAGACGGUAGCCUGGGAGGAAGCCCCGGCUAACUACGUGCCAGCCGCGGC
rnacentral:rRNA from 1 species